CGGAAGGAGACAACAGACCUGGGACAAGGCUACGGAAGGAGACAACAGACCUGGGACCAGGCUACGGAAGAAGACAACAGACAACAGACCUGGGACAAGGCUACGGAAGGAGACAACAGACCUGGGACAAGGCUACGGAAGGAGACAACAGACCUGGGACCAGGCUACAGAAGGAGACAAUAGAUCUGGAACCAGGCUACAGAAGGAGACAACAGACCUGGGACCAGGCUACAGAAAGAGACAACAGAUCUGGAACCAGGCUACAGAAGGAGACAACAGAUCUGGGACCAGGCUACAGAAGGAGACAACAGAUCUGGAACCAGGCUACAGAAGGAGACAAUAGAUCUGGAACCAGGCUACAGAAGGAGACAACAGAUCUGGGACCAGGCUACAGAAGGAGACAACAGAUCUGGAACCAGGCUACAGAAGGAGACAACAGAUCUGGAAUCAGGCUACAGAAGGAGAAAACAGAUCUGGGACCAGGCUAAUGGCAAUACAUUGUACAAGACAGUAUGCACAGCCAGUAUACUGUGAUGUCAUAAAGAGAUGUGGAAAUCCAAGGCACACUGGGACAGCAUUGAGAAAUAGCAGGAUGUGGGUUGAGCCCUCGUUAGGCAAGGUUAUGUA
rnacentral:lncRNA from 1 species